AUGCCAUCUUGCCGCACAUCCACUGGUAAGGAAGCGAUUGCAACCCGCCGCGUCAACUACAUCGCAUGUGCCCGCACCCUUACGUGGGCGGACUUUGACCCUGCCAAGGACGAAUGGGUGAAGGAGGAGGCCAAGGCCGCAGUGGAGGAGAGGAAAAGGAAGGCCGCUUGCAAGAAAAGAGAGGCCGCCCGUCGCAAGAAACGUGACGCCACCUGCACCGUGAAGAAGAGCUGGGCGGAGAUCCAAGUACCAUGGGCUACCGCCGCAAGGCCGAGAAAGAGAAUGACGACGUCUGCCCAGCAUGGGUGA
rnacentral:rRNA from 1 species